CCCCUAGGUCCUGGAGAACAGGUAAUGGAGGACAUCAGGUGGGUGUUGGGCAGAACCCCUAGGUCCUGGAGAACAGGUAACGGAGGACAUCGGUGGAUCUGGGUGUUGGGUUGAACCCCCUAGGUCCUGGAGAACAUCAGUUGGGUUUGGGUGUUGGGCAGAACCCCCUAGGUCCUGGAGAACAUCAGUUGGGUCUGGGUGUUGGGCAGAACCCCCUAGGUCCUGGAGAACAGGUAAUGGAGGACAUCAGGUGGGUGUUGGGCAGAACCCCUAGGUCCUGGAGAACAGGUAACGGAGGACAUCGGUGGAUCUGGGUGUUGGGUUGAACCCCCUAGGUCCUGGAGAACAUCAGUUGGGUUUGGGUGUUGGGCAGAACCCCCUAGGUCCUGGAGAACAUCAGUUGGGUCUGGGUGUUGGGUUGAACCCCCUAGGUCCUGGAGAACAUCAGUUGGGUCUGGGUGUUGGGCAGAACCCCUAGGUCCUGGAGAUCAAGAGCAGAGUUAGAGGUUAGGAGACAGACGUCAACAAGCAAACACACAGUUUACACUUUACUGGGAGAACAUUUUGAUGGAUUAGUGCAGUGUUAUAAAUGGGAGAUAUUUACUUUUCAACACUUGGAUGGUACAGCCUACCUCAAGCUGGUCCCCCUCUGACUCCGAGCACAGAUAAUCAGACUGAUCUGAACUCACUGGUUCUGGUGGAUGGGAUACUUCCUAGGGAGCUCAGACAGUUAAUGGUCCUCAAGUCAUUUGGAGGUAAAUUGAGGGACAUUUUUUUAAGCUCAGCAUAACUACCAUUUCUUUCUUUCUCAAAUGUCAACCAAAGCUUAACACACUAUCUAUUGGGCUUCACUGAAGUGUAGGGCAUCAGGGCUUUCAGUGGUCGACCGUCCAACUCCAGCAUGUAAAUCCUGGUGGGGCAUAGGAGGGGGACAGUUUUUAGAUGCAUGCCAGCAAAGCCGAUGCACAACACUAAACAAUACAUUAAUUGCACUAUAAUGUUGACAAGGGGGGGCCACAAACUGUUAGGGACUAUAUCAAUCUGUCCCAAAACCUUACCACUGCUACACCUGACUAUCAGCGGAGCCUUGUCUGGCAGCGAAACGGUUCAUUCAUCCUGUUGGAUUCGUGGUAAACUUUGAACAUUGAGAUAUUAAAGACAUGAUAGAUCAGACGCAUAGUGUAUAAAAAGAGACUGGGUUUAUGCCAGAAGGUAAUGGGUCUCCGUAGAAAGACCGAUGGCUUUGGAAUGUGUUGGGUGGAUGGGAGGAGAUCACAGGAUUGCUAUAAGGGAAGCGGAUGGACAUCUGUGGAUUAGGCGAAGGAGGGGUUGAGGUCAAGAGGUCAGAUCACCUGAAGGGAGUAAUAAGGGUUUAGUAUCCCAUUUCCCUCAUCCUGUGGAACCAUAAGAUGUAAGGAUUGGAGAGAAGGAGUGUCCA
ensembl:lncRNA